rnacentral:tRNA from 1 species
CGCGGGGUAGGCAAGUGGCAAGCCGCGAGAGUCAUGAUCUCGCCAUUGCGGGUUCGAUUCCCGCCCCCGCUACCA